rnacentral:rRNA from 1 species
CAGUAGCCGCGGUAAUGCAGAGGGUGCAAGCGUUAAUCGGAAUUACUGGGCGUAAAGCGCGCGUAGGUGGUUUGUUAAGUUGGAUGUGAAAUCCCCGGGCUCAACCUGGGAACUGCAUUCAAAACUGACUGACUAGAGUAUGGUAGAGGGUGGUGGAAUUUCCUGUGUAGCGGUGAAAUGCGUAGAUAUAGGAAGGAACACCAGUGGCGAAGGCGACCACCUGGACUAAUACUGACACUGAGGUGCGAAAGCGUGGGGAGCAAACAGGAUUAGAUACCCGAGUAGUCCCUGUCUCUUAUAA